AACGAACGCUGGCGGCAGGCCUCAAACAUGCAAGUCUAGGGGGCGUAGCAAUACGUCACCGGCGGACGGGUGCGUAACACGUGGGAAUAUACCUUUCGGUACGGAACAACUGCGGGAAACUGCAGCUAAUACCGUAUGCUCCGGAAACGGCAAAGAUUUAUCGCCGAAGGAUUAGCCCGGCGUUCGAUUAGCUAGUUGGCGGGGUAACGGCCACAAGGCGACGAUCGAUAGCUGUUCUGAGAGGAAGAUCAGCCACACUGGGGACCUGAGACACGGCCCAGACUCCUACGGGAGGCAGCAGUUGGGAAUCUUGGACGAAUGGGGAAACCCUGAUCCAGCCAUGCCGCGUGAGUGAUGAAGGCC
rnacentral:rRNA from 1 species